UACGUAGGGGGCAAGCGUUAUCCGGAAUCAUUGGGCGUAAAGCGCGUGUAGGUCGGUUCAGUAAGUCCGCUCGUGAAAGCCCAGGGCUCAACCCUGGGAGGCGGGUGGAUACUACUGGACUAGAGUACGGAAGAGGAGAUUGGAAUUCCUGGUGUAGCGGUGAAAUGCGCAGAUAUCAGGAGGAACACCAACAGCGAAGGCAGAUCUCUGGGACGUAACUGACGCUGAGACGCGAAAGCGUGGGGAGCAAACAGG
rnacentral:rRNA from 1 species